rfam:Stegodyphus mimosarum contig152222, whole genome shotgun sequence.
GCCUUCGUGGUGUAAUGGUCAGCACACUGAGCCGGUAUUUCAAAGUUCUGUGGUUCGAUCCCCGGCGAAGGAA